rnacentral:rRNA from 1 species
UACGGGAGGCAGCAGUGGGGAAUAUUGCACAAUGGGCGCAAGCCUGAUGCAGCCAUGCCGCGUGUAUGAAGAAGGCCUUCGGGUUGUAAAGUACUUUCAGUCGUGAGGAAGGUGUUAAGGUUAAUAACCUUAGCAAUUGACGUUAGCGACAGAAGAAGCACCGGCUAACUCCGUGCCAGCAGCCGCGGUAAUACGGAGGGUGCGAGCGUUAAUCGGAAUUACUGGGCGUAAAGGGCACGCAGGCGGUUAAUUAAGUUGGAUGUGAAAUCCCCGGGCUUAACCUGGGAAUGGCAUUCAAGCUGGUUAGCUAGAGUCUUGUAGAGGGGGUAGAAUUCCAUGUGUAGCGGUGAAAUGCGUAGAGAUGUGGAGGAAUACCGGUGGCGAAGGCGGCCCCUGGGACAAAGGCUGACGCUCAUGUGCGAAAGCGUGGGGAGCGAAAC